AUGAGCAUUGGCCAGAGCAUCUGCAGAAUGCUAUUCAUAAGCUGUGGCUUAUGUAUGAGCAUAGCCAGCAUGAUAACAAGAUGGCAUGCCUGGAGCAUUCAAGCACUGUACAAAAUCUCACACAGCAGAAAAAAGAGUUACACAAUCUCACACAACCUCUUGGAUUAUAAGGAUAGCCAGCCUGAGGUAAACCAGAAGAAUGAUGCUGAGAACAUUUCAGUGAGUGUGGAAAGCAGCGUGACAAAGGAUGUUGAGAUCAAAAAAUUGAAGGCUGUUGUUGACCAGUUAAAGCAAAUUCAUGUAGCUCAAGCCACUGUCAUUAGUAAUUUGAAGUUCAACCAUCUUAAAGAGAAGGAAAAGUUGAGCUCUGAUAAGAGGACUUUGGAGAUUUUCUAUGCUGACCUGAAGAAAGAGAAGGAUGACCUGAAGAAAGAGAAGGACAAGCUGGAUUGUUGCAUUGCUGAGCUGAUGAAAGUGAAGGAGAAGUUGACCAUGGAGAAGAGUACUCUUGCUUCAUGCAUUGUUGAGAUCAAGACAGUAGGUGAUAGCAACAAGAGGAAGCUUCACCAGAUCAAGGCUAUUUGUGAUGAGGACUAA
rnacentral:rRNA from 1 species